CUUGAAGACAACAGUUCCUAAACAGCCAAUGUCUGGACAGCAUUUCAUGGAAAAGCCACAGAGAUUAAAUGAUUUCAGCUCACUGAAAGAGAGUCUGUUUCCCUUGGCUACAUUUUCAAACACACCAUAUCACUGAGGGUCGCACCCGGCAUACACCCAGAUCACUAGAAAUAUACUUAACACUAAAACGGAACAUCAUUUAAUUUGGGGGAUUCAGAAUGCACAUCAGGAUCUUGCAGUGCCUCAGGAUCAUCAUUAUCAACAAUUAUCAUGUUAGAUGUAAAAGAGUCUUCACCAACCAAGUCUAAGAAUUCAACCAUGAUAUUUUACCCAAUACUUUGCUUAGACAGAAGAAGAAAGCUUAGCAUGAGUAGAUACUCUCACAGCUCUCUGCAGUAAAAUCCAAUCCCUCUGACACAGUGAUCAUUAACUCUGUACUGUAGUGAUUCUAUACAAUAAUUCUACAGUUAUGAUUAAUCCAUACUUACAGGCCCAGAUUAUAUAAAACUGGUUUUUAAAGACACAGGUUAUUUUAAUAAUUUUUCUCAUGGUGCCACUAAGGGUCAGAGUUAAGGUUGUUCAGUGCCUUGAAUUUGUGUUUCCAUAAAUUGAAAUGUUUGACUUUCUUUUAACUU